CACCCUGCGCCAUAGUCUAUGGUUUUGUGAAACGCUGCCACUGCUCACUAGAUAUCAGCAUUGGAAUGGAAAUAAUAAUAAUAAUUAAAACACAUAUUAGUCAAUCACUAAUACAAAUGUUUAUGCAUUUUAUUGCAGUAUGACAGGAUGGCAUCCAUUUCAACUGACCAGAAUACACAGCCGACCCCUCAACUGCUGUCAGUGGGAGAAAAGGAUAGGAAACGGCUGCUGGAGGUGUAUGUAAAGCGAAGUCUCAGCCUUAACGAUGGAUCACAAAGUCCUCUGAGACAGGAGCAAAGAUCACGCAAAUGGGUUGCCAUCAAAGAGCGCAAGACAAGAGAUCGCAAACAUUCCAGCGAUACAUCUCUGAAAUUGACUUUACAAGCCUCCAUCUCAGAUGAGGACAUUAGAUACGAGCCCCUCGCUGAACCGCAAAUGGAUAAAAAGGAGACAUCGUCUGAGAAGAAAUCCAAAAAGUGGAGAGGUAAAGGGAGUCUGCGGCGCGACGAUGGCUCUAAUGCAUCGCAAAAGUCCAACAGCAAACCCAAGAAGAAGUUUUUAAUUUUGGAUAAGGGCAAGGAGGAAGGUGGGCUAAGCAUUGAUUCUUUAUCCCCCCAAACAAGUACAGUUACUGCUGGAAAUAUGCAUUCAAAUGUGCAAGAAAAUCUGGAGACUUCUGUAACGGAAAGGAAGGACAAAGUAGGCAAGAAGACAAAGAAAUCCACUAUAUGGAAGAGUUUCUUGAGCUGGUUUUCCAAAGGAAAUGGUGAAAAGGAGCAAAAUCAUCAGAGAACCGAAGAACAGCUCCCUCUUUCCCAUCCCUCAACACCCCAAAUCUCUUGUUUGCCUUUAGCUGACCCCCCAUCAAAAGGCGAUAUCAACCUGCGCCGUUCAAAAUCGACAAAAAAGAAAUCGUUGCUCAGGAGAUCAUUAAAAUGGAGGCGAAGUGGAGAUAUGUCCACUGAAAAAUCAGCUGUUGAGAUAGUGGAACCCACUAACUCAUACUAUGAGAAAAUGUCAGAGGAACUGGAGAAAAUUGUGCAU
ensembl:lncRNA